rnacentral:rRNA from 1 species
UACGGGGGGUGCGAGCGUUGUCCGGAAUCACUGGGCGUAAAGGGCGCGUAGGUGGUUUGAUAAGGGUGUGGUGAAAGCCCGGAGCUCAACUCCGGGUCUGCCGUGCCGACUGUCAAACUCGAGGGCUGUAGAGGCAGACGGAAUUCCGGGUGUAGCGGUGGAAUGCGUAGAGAUCCGGAGGAACACCGGUGGCGAAGGCGGCACUCUGGGCCGGUACUGACGCUGAGACGCGAAAGCGUGGGGAGCGAACAGG